rnacentral:rRNA from 1 species
ACAUGUCCUGUCUGGAAAUGGCUAGAGUGGUACACCUCAGUGAGGGCCCCAGGGUGGCAAUGGUCCACACCAAAGGGUGCCUCACACCCAGUGUCCCCACACAAAGUGUCCCUGUGCAUCCCAUUGGCGGAAGGUCUUACGGAGAGUGUAAAGACCUGAGCAGCACCGUCUGCCCUGGCUGUCCUCACAGGUCAGGCCGUGGUUGCGGAGAGGCCUGUCCACAGCCACCAGCUCAGUGUGGAAUCAAUUGCCACGGUCCCCCUGUCCCGUCGUACGUUUCUCAAGUACUUUGUUGUUCUCAAACGUCGAACACGUUGAGCCGGGCGUCCGAGUGAAGAGUGGCUGGCGUCGGCCCACCCUCAUCGGACCCUCCGGUACGUUGUCAACAACCCCCAGAGUCGAGCCGAGCCUUGGGAGGAAAAGCAGGUAGCGCGACCAGAGGAUGCUGCGCUAAUGACAAAGGGGGCCGAUUGACGUGGUGACGACACCGGGCUUCCCUCCCUGUCUGGCAUCCAUCAGCAUCCAUCAGAGUCCGGUAGAUCCGCCCAGGUAGAUCCACCCAAGAAUGGCAAUUUCCCUCGGGAUCAUUAAAGUACUUCUGUCUGUCUGUCUGUCUGUCUGAAUGCAGCUAGCUGCGAGAACUAAUGUGAAUUGCAGGACACAUUGAUCAUCGACAUUUCGAACGCACCUUGCGGCCCCAGGUUCCUCCUGCCUGUCUGUCUGAGAGUUGCGUUGGCAAUCAAUCAGAACAGAAAAAAAUGGGGGUCUGGUACAGUCUCGGGACUGGCCGCCUCAUUUUUUCCCACUUCCGCGACUGGGGUCUGUCGCAGGCUCCUCUUCCACGAGGGCCUUCGUCCCCCUAAGUGCAGACCAUCCGUAGAAAGGGACCUUUGGUUGAAGCUUGGCAAACUUCCUCCACACUCGGUCGAACACACGGUCGGAUCGCGGCAGCCGGUGGAUGACCCUCGCAUCUCCGUCAAGCUGCCCGCGGUUAUCCCCGACUCGUGGUGUCUGUCAACAGAGAGGGGCCAGUCUACGGGAGGUGAGGUUGUGGGGGUGGAAAGUUGGAUCUGUGGCAAUACCCAGAUUGCGUGACCCCUCCAUCCCAUGGAGGCCAUGCACAGCGAAAGCACGCUUCUCGAAUACGACCUCAGAUCAGACGAGACAACCCGCUGAACUUAAGCAUAUCAGUAAGCGGAGGAAAAGAAACUAACCAGGAUUCCCCUAGUAGCGGCGAGCGAAGAGGUAAAAGCCCAGCACCGAAUCCCCGUCCGCCCAGUCGGGCGCGGGACAUGUGGUGUACGGAAGAUUGUUUUCCUGGUGUCGGCAUGGGGGCCCGAGUCCUUCUGAUUGAGGCUCAGCCCGUGGACGGUGUGAGGCCGGUAGCGGCCCCCGUCGCACCGGGGCAUGGUCUUCCCGGAGUCAGGUUGCUUGGGAAUGCAGCCCAAAGCGGGUGGUAAACUCCAUCUAAGGCUAAAUAUCGGCACAAGACCGAUAGUCGACAAGUACCGUAAGGGAAAGUUGAAAAGAACUUUGAAGAGAGAGUUCAACAGGGCAUGAAACCGCUAAGAGGUAAACCAGUGGGGUCCGCGCAGUCUGCCCAGGGGACUCAACUCGGCGGGUUACGAUUACGGCGGCUCGUGUCGUUAGGGAUCGCCUUAGCCGGCGACCCCUGCCCGAGCCGGCUCCAGACUUGUGGUGCGGACCAGAGGAAUCCGACUGUUUAAUUAAAACAGAGCAUCGUGAGGGCCCCAGCGGGUGUUGACGCAAUGUGAUUUCUGUUCAGUGCUCUGAAUGUCAAAGUGAAGAAAUUCAAUGAAGGGCGGGAGUAACUAUGACUCUCUUAUGGUAGCCAAAUGCCUCGUCAUCUAAUUAGUGACGCACAUGAAUGGAUGAACGAGAUUCCCACUGUCCCUACCUACUAUCCAGCGAAACCACAGCCAAGGGAACGGGCUUGGCAGAAUCAGCGGGGAAAGAAGACCCUGUUGAGCUUGACUCUAGUCCGGCAUUGUGAAGAGACAUGAGGGGUGUAGGAUAAGUGGGAGGUCGUCGGCCGGAGGUGAAAUACCACUAUUCUUAUCGUUUUUCCACUUACCCGUUGAGGCGGGGAGGCGAGCCCCUGAGCAGGGUUCUCGUAUCUGGUGUCAAACCCCCGGCUCGUCCGGGGGCAACCUGUCCCGGGGACAGUGACAGGUGGGGAGUUUGACUGGGGCGGUACACCUGUCAAAUGGUAAUGCAGGUGUCCUAAGGCAAGCUCAGGGAGGACAGAAACCUCCUGUGGAGCAGAAGGGCAAAAGCUCGCUUGAUCUUGAUUUUCAGUAUGAGUACGGACCGUGAAAGCGCGGCCUCACGAUCCUUCUGACGUUUUGGGUUUUAAGCAGGAGGUGUCAGAAAAGUGGGAUAACAGGGGUUAACUGGGAUAACUGGCUUGUGGCGGCCAAGCGUUCAUAGCGACGUUGCUUUUUGAUCCUUUGAUGUCGACUCUUCCUAUCAUUGUGAAGCAGAAUUCACCAAGCGUUGGAUUGUUCACCCACUAAUAGGGAAUGUGAGCUGGGUUUACACCAUCAUGAGACAGGUUAGUUUCACCCUACUGAUGAUGUGUUGUUGCAAUAGUAAUCCUGCUCAGUACGAGAGGAACCGCAGGUUCAGACAUUUGGUGUAUGUGCUUGGCUGAGGAGCCAAUGGGGCGAAGCUACCAUCUUUGGGCUUAUGACUGAACGCCUCUAAGUCAGAAUCCCCCCUGCACCCACACCCUUCAGAAUCCUCUUCUUCUGUUCCAUUCUUUGGGUGCUGCCAAUCACCUGAUCCCUCAUCUUCAGAAGAGCUCACCAUCUGUUUUAGACAAGAUAAAAUGAUCUUUUUCUCACUCACUUACCCUAUACACUGAAACUGAUGAAGACUACUCUUACCGAUGUUUGAUGGCUGAGAAU